GGUCUGUAGCUUAGUGUCAGAGCACUUGCCUAGCAUGCAUGAGGCACUGGGUUCAAUCCUCAGCACCA
rnacentral:tRNA from 1 species